UACGUAGGGUGCAAGCGUUGUCCGGAAUUAUUGGGUGUAAAGAGCUCGUAGGUGGCCUGUCGCGUCGGCUGUGAAAACUCCGGGGCUCACUCCGAGCUUGCAGUCGAUACGGGCAGGCUAGAGUUCGGCAGGGGAGACUGGAAUUCCUGGUGUAGCGGUGAAAAUGCGCAGAUAUCAGGAGGAACACCGGUGGCGAAGGCGGGUCUCUGGGCCGAUACUGACGCUGAGGAGCGAAAGCGUGGGGAGCGAACAGG
rnacentral:rRNA from 1 species